AGUGUGUGUUGUCAUGCUGUGAAGUGUCAAAAUGACAUACGCAAAAUUAGAGUGGUAGAGUCAUACCUGGCUGAACUCUCAUGCUGAUGUUUAGUGUCUGUCUUUUUGUAUUCUCACCAUGUUGGUUAGCCUUACAAGCUCUGAAGUCUCCUUGUGUUAUGUGGUUUCUUUUCUGAUUCGAUUUUACCAUACCGCUUUCUUGGUCUGGUGUCACCAAAUUGUGUCCGACUUUACUUUCUCGUGGUUGGAUCAACUUCUGGGGUGCCUUAUCAGAAUAAGUAUGAGGAGUGUCUUUCAUCCACUACCAUUGAUCCCGGAUUCGUCUAACCAUUUCUCAUCACUCUGUACACACAAGUAAACCACACACACAAAAAAACAAACAAAAUACUAUGACGAUAACAAAAACAAAAGCUCAAGAACAAAAACAAAUUGAAAGCAAAUUAAAACAUGAAAGGAAAAAUCCCCCCACACUUGAAUUAAACAUUGACCUCAAUGUUUAAAUUCAAAUACAAAGGGGACUUACAAUGAUUACUGUUGUGGAGGAGGCGGAGGAUUAUGCGGGAAAUGCAACAUCAGACGUUGCAUAAUGGCUUGCAUGUCAUCCAUGAAUGUCCCUUGUCGGAACAAUUCCACACCUUGUCUGGUUUGCUCGGUGCGGAGGGUUCCCAUCUUAGUUUGGAUCCAACCCCACUAGUCCUGAGACAUAAAGGAGGGUUCCCAACAAAAUUCAAAAAUAUUUAAAGAAAAUGCCAAGUGGGUCCCAUCAUUUGUUGCUUUUAAUGGUGGGACCCACUUGGCAUUAUAUCUCUGCUCCACCACUUAUUCUGAUUGUGCAAGCUUCUCACUCCCUCUUCCUCCAUUGUUAACCUAGUCUCCAUCACCUAAAGCUCCACUUUUCACCAAGCUCCACUCAUUAAAACCCCAUCCCCCCUUCACGAAAACCGUUCCUCUCUCUGUCCUCUACCCAAUGACGGUGGCCGUUUUCACUAAUCUGUUAUUUGGGUUUUGAGGAAUUUUUGGAGGUACCCAUUAUGCCCCCAAAGCGUAUAAGCAAAGGAAAGGAUGUGACCACAUCUUCCCGGCUGAAGCAACGUGCUAGACGCACUCCGAAUCCUCAUGGCAUUUUGUUUGAACGACCAGAUCACCAAGAUAGGUAUGUGAUUUUUGCUCAACGUAAGCUCAUUCCUAUACGCUAUAUGUGUGAUGCUACACUUGAUGAGUUAGGCUUAAAGGAAGAGGUGCAUCACAUGUUUCACAACAUCGGUAUGUUAGAAUUCAUGCAAUUCGAAGCACCGACCUUCGCACGUAUCACACUUGAAUUCUUAAGUACGGUUGAGUUUAAGAUGAGACGAAGGUGGACCUGUUCAGAGAUGGAAUUUUAUGGGCAGAUGACUUUCCGAUUGUUCAAUGAGGAUCACGAGUUAUCUGAUGAGGAACUUAGGGGUGUUCUAAGACUCCCGGUAUCUGGACCCAGAACCCCCCCAGACACUUUUUCAGCAAUUGAUUUCUGGAGGGCUAUUAUAGGUAAAAGUGGCUACAACCCAAGUUCGGGAAAAGCUUUUGGGAUUCAUAACCCGUGCUUCAGAUAUGCACAAAAGGGGUUAGCCUACACCUUGUUCGGACGGGGUGAUAGCACUGGGGUAGCCGCAAAGAGAGAGUUAUUUUUCCUUCACUGCAUGGCCAAUAAUGAGUGAGUCAAUGCAACUGCUAUUGCGGCCAAUCAUUUGAAGCAAGUUGGCCACGCAAGUACCGAUGAUAUUUCUGUGGGUGGUAUGAUCACGCAGAUUGCGUACCACUUUGGGUAUGGUCACCUCUUGUUGGAAGAAGCUGCAGUGGUGGGUAAGACUAAGAUCGACAUGAACACUCUCGUCAAUCAACAAAUGAUUGCAAUCAUGCCGACUUAUUACUCUCUUGUGAUUCAUAAUGUGGAAGUGCUUGCUUUACCAACACCGGGUUCCAUUAGCAUUGCAAAUGUUGCUAACUGGUUGUAUACAAGUUCAACCCCAUAUGUAGGGGACGAUGCUCAAUAUGACCAGGAUUUUUCAGGUGAUGAAAUGGAAGAAGAUGAGAGGCCAGCAGCGCAAUGCAUGCCACCCCCACAGGAUUCCAACCUACAUGGUGAAGGAUCUUCCUUUAUGUCUCAGGACCAUUGGGGUUGGAUCCAAACUGAAAUGGAACCCUCCGCACCGAGCAAACCAGACAAGGUGCGGAAUUGGACAGACAAGGUGUGGAAUUGUUCCGACAAGGGACAUUCAUGGAUGACAUGCAAGCCAUGAUGCAACGUUUGAUGUUGCAUUUCCCGCACGAUCCUCCGCCUCCUCCACAACAGUAAUCACCGUAAGUCUCCUUUGUAUUUGAAUUUAAACAUUAAGGUCAAUGUUUAGUUCAAGUGUGUGUGUGUGUGGGGGGGGGGGUUCCUUUCAUGUUUUAAUUCGCUUUCAAUUUGUUUUUGUUCUUGAGCUUUUGUUUUUGUUGUCGUCGUAUUAUUUUGUUUAUUUUUUUUGUGUGUGGUUUACUUGUGUGUACAAAGUGAUGAGAAAUGGUUGGACGAAUCCGGGAUCAAUGAUAGUGGAUGAAAGACACCCCUCAUACUUAUUCUGAUAAGGCACUCCGGAAGUUGAUGCAACCAUGAGAAAGUAAAGUCGGACACAAUUUGGUGACACCAGACCAAGAGAGCGGUAUGGUAAAACCGAGUCAGAAAAGAAACCCCAUAACACGAGGAAGCUUCAGAGCUUGUAAGGCUAACCAACAUGGUGAGAAUACAAAAAGACAGACACUAAACAUCAGCAUGAGAGUUCAGUCAGGUAUGACUCUACCACUCUGAUUUUGCGUAUGUCCUUUUGACACUUCACAGCAUGACAACACACACUGAGGCAAGUUGUUUGUUUAGCCAGGGCUUUUCUAGCCAUCCCUAUCUAUAUGUUUUCCCUUCGUGAACCCCGUUGAGUCUUAGCCAUUUUUUUCAUAAUAAACCCCAUGUUAACCACUAACCAUUCAUUUCUUCCAUCACUCGGCAUGAUUGUUGUGAGUUAUAAGAUGUGCAUAAAGCUAAGUUUGGGGUGAUAAUCUUGAAAAAUAGGGCAAGUGCAUAAUAAGUGAUCAUACAAAAGGAAGAGAUGUAUGUAUGUCCAAAAAGAAAAGAAAAAACCAAAAGAAGAAAAUGCACUUGCCGAGACUUAAGACUCUAACACUUAUAAAAUGCUCGCAAAGAAGUGAGUAGAAAAAGAGUCAAAAGAGUGAAAUUAACCCCCAGAGUAUAAGUGAUGCACGGAAAAAAAAAGAUCACACAACAUGAAUGCCGAGUUCAAAACCCUUUGUUAUCCAUCUUUGUGUUUAUCCCACCGUUCCCAAGCACCGUUACAACCUAAAAGACCUCGUAAAGUGUGUGAAAUCUGCUGUUGUCGUGAAAUUAGAAUGUAUUCAAAUUUAAGAGUUUGGUAUUGCAUACUGUGCUGUGAGUGUACACACCCUAACCAUGAGAGAUGUUGUGAGUGUGUGAAAAAGCUUGCAGGUAACGAGACUUCUGAUGUGGAAAUGUGGCGGAUUGUCUGAGUCGGAGAUAUCGGAAACUUGAUUGGAAAGGAAGAACACAAAUUGUGAAGGACAAGGUUGCAUCGUGGGAAAUGAAUUUGUGGGUGACCUUUGUUUGGAUUCAAUACAUCACUUGAGGACAAGUAAUGAGACAAGUUUGGGGUUGUGAUCGGUCACCAUUUCCAUUGAAUUCCCACCAUUAAUCCGACAUAUUUUCAUCACUUUAGUAAGAUUUGUGUUUGUUUUUAGUUGUUUCAGAGUCAUUUAUCAUGUUUUGUUAGUUUGUUAUCGCAGUUCAUUUUAUUACAUUUUUAUGUCAAAAAUGUCUCUUUUAUGCUUCGUUUUGGUAGUGUUAUUGUUACAGGCCGUUGCACAGGUUUAAAAGAACUAAUAGUGGGAUUGUGGAUACUCAGAAAGGCAAAAAUAUGAAGAUACAGCAGGUCAACACGGGCCCCCGUGUGCAACAACACUUCCCGUGUGUAGGGACACGGCCCGUGUUGAAGCCUCUGUAGCUUGAUCUGAAAGUACUCAUUUUGGAGAGCACACACGGGCACCUGUGUCAAUCCAUACGGCCCGUGUUGAUGGGCGUGACUUAGAAACUUAAAUUUUUGUCACGUGGAUCUAUUCUGCUCAUUAAGGGUAGUUUGGACUUUUUGCUUGGGGAAAAUCCAUCUGAAACUAUUAGAAGGGCUUUGGAGAGAAAGGAAAAGACACUUUUUGACGUACGAAAGAAAACAUUGCACUAAAGAGAUAGCUAUUACGGAGGAUUCGAAGACGGCGAGAUUCAAGGGCAUCACCUAUUGAAGAUCAAAAUCUCCUGAUUCUUUGUAAUGUUUAAUUUCUAUACUAUGAUUUCUUUGAAUACUAUGAGAGGCUAAACCCCCUAUGUUAGGGGGGUGGUCCUGAUUUGAUCGUAUGUUAUGAAUUUAAACAAAUGAUUUCCUUAUUACCUUGUUACAUAUUUCAAUUCAAUUGUAUGAUGUUAUUAUGCUUUUGUAUCGGACAAAUACAAUUUGAUCUACGACUAUCAAUAACAGGAUUGUGAUUGUUAGGGUUUUCACACAAUUAGGUUUAUGAUUGCUUCAUCUAGGACUAGUAACUUUUGUAAAUCACCGAAAACCUCGAUAUUGUUUAUGAUUAAAACCAAGAAUUUAUUGAAUGGACCUUUGAUAAAAAUUGGUAGUUUAAUAGUUUCUUCUUUAAGGACUUAAGGAAGAACAUUCUGAGGUUAGGUAAUUGACUAUUUCAUGUGUAUUAAAGAAAUCUUGACUGAAUUCAUAACUGGUUAAAUCAACCACUCACCCUAGCAUGUUUUAUCUUAAUCAAUUAUAUUUUAUUGUCUUUUGUGUUUAUUGUUUAAAUUCCAAAAACAACCAAACCAUUAUCUUUUUGUUUUGAUAGAAUCAAAAUAAAAUAAGUAUUUCCUACGCAAUCUCUGAGAUCGAUACUUGGAAAUAAAACUCCUUAUUACUACAUCUGUAAAAAUAGUACACUUGCUAUUUUUCCGAUCAAGUUUGGUAAUAUUGCAAAACAUCUUGUACAUAUUUGUUGGAAACAGUUGGGGUUGGAGCCGGAACAUGUGAAAAAACGCAUUGCUGAUUUUAGAGAAAUCAAAUUAAAGGAAAGAGGCCCGGAAAAAGAUAAAAAUUGGAGGAAUUUCAACAAGUUUUACACGCAUUGCAAUACGCGGUGGGCGGAAAGGAAUAUGUUCCUUAUCAAAAAGGAUUUAUUCGUGAAUGGGCCGCUAAUGAAUUAUGCGCGGGAGGGAGAUGUUGAUGAAAUUGAAACCGAAGAACCUAUACAAGAGAACACCUCCCCAAUCUCCACUUGCAUUCCUAGGUGUAAUUUCCUAUCACCCACACCUCAAGAUGCAUCCACCUCCACUCCUGAGUGUAGCUUCCGAUUACCUACACCUCGAGAUGAAGUUCAGGUUCAGACCCCCUUCUUCGACUCUUCUCUGUCGCAUGAAGCCUUAUCCAUCCAGACGCCUCAAGAAGUCUUAUCCCCCAGAUGUCUCCACAGCCUACGGUAUUUUUAUCUUUGACGAACCAAAGUUUGGAUAACAAUCCUAAUCAUGAUCGUGAUGACAAUGUUGGUAAUGUUCAAGAUGACUAUUUUGAUCACGAUCAUGUUAUGGAUGAUAAUCUUAUUUAUGAUGAGAAUGUUGAGGUUGGAAAUCCUAAUAAUGAUGAGGAUGUUGAGGUUGACAAUCCUAAUAAUGAUGAGGAAGUUGAAGUUGGCAAUCUUAAUAAUGAUGUUCUAUAUGUUGAGGUUGGCAAUAAUAAUAAUGAUGAUCUAGAUGUUGGGGUUGACAAUCCUAAUUAUGAUGAGGGUGAGGUGAGUGAUCCUUAUUUAUUUAAGUAAAUUCGAUUUAUUUAAUAAUACUUUUUAGGUGAGUGAGAUUUAUUAUUUUUA